rnacentral:rRNA from 1 species
UACGAAGGGGGCUAGCGUUGCUCGGAAUUACUGGGCGUAAAGCGCACGUAGGCGGCUUUCUAAGUCGGGGGUGAAAUCCUGGAGCUCAACUCCAGAACUGCCUUUGAUACUGGCAAUCUAGAGUCCGGAAGAGGUAAGUGGAACUCCUAGUGUAGAGGUGGAAUUCGUAGAUAUUAGGAAGAACACCAGUGGCGAAGGCGGCUUACUGGUCCGGUACUGGACGCUGAGGUGCGAAAGCGUGGGGAGCAAACAGG